GAUGAACGCUGGCGGCGUGCUUAACACAUGCAAGUCGAGCGAGAAGUUUUGAACAGAUUCUUCGGAUGAAAUUUAAAAUGGAAAGCGGCGGACGGGUGAGUAACGCGUAGGCAACCUGCCCCAUACAAAGGGAUAGCAUUUGGAAACGAAUAUUAAUACCUUAUGAAACUUAACUAGUGCAUGCUAGGUAGGUCAAAGAUUUAUCGGCAUGGGAUGGGCCUACGUCUGAUUAGCUAGUUGGUGAGGUAACGGCUCACCAAGGCGACGAUCAGUAGCCGACCUGAGAGGGUGAACGGCCACAUUGGAACUGAGACACGGUCCAAACUCCUACGGGAGGCAGCAGUGGGGAAUAUUGCACAAUGGGGGAAACCCUGAUGCAGCAACGCCGCGUGAACGAUGAAGGCCUUUGGGUCGUAAAGUUCUGUUCUAGGUGAUGAAAACUGACAGUAACCUAGGAGAAAGCCCCGGCUAACUCCGUG
rnacentral:rRNA from 1 species